GAUGAACGCUGGCGGCGUGCCUAAUACAUGCAAGUCGAGCGAACAGACGAGGAGCUUGCUCCUCUGACGUUAGCGGCGGACGGGUGAGUAACACGUGGAUAACCUACCUAUAAGACUGGGAUAACUUCGGGAAACCGGAGCUAAUACCGGAUAAUAUAUUGAACCGCAUGGUUCAAUGGUGAAAGACGGUUUUGCUGUCACUUAUAGAUGGAUCCGCGCCGCAUUAGCUAGUUGGUAAGGUAACGGCUUACCAAGGCAACGAUGCGUAGCCGACCUGAGAGGGUGGUCGGCCACACUGGAACUGAGACACGGUCCAGACUCCUACGGGAGGCAGCAGUAGGGAAUCUUCCGCAAUAGGCGAAAGCCUGACGGAGCAACGCCGCGUGAGUGAUGAAGGUCUUCGGAUCGUAAAACUCUGUUAUUAGGGAAGAACAAAUGUGUAAGUAACUAUGCACGUCUUGACGGUACCUAAUCAGAAAGCCACGGCUAACUACGUG
rnacentral:rRNA from 1 species